GAUGAACGCUGGCGGCGUGCCUAAUACAUGCAAGUCGAGCGAAUGGAUUAAGAGCUUGCUCUUAUGAAGUUAGCGGCGGACGGGUGAGUGACACGUGGGUAACCUGCCCAUAAGACUGGGAUAACUCCGGGAAACCGGGGCUAAUACCGGAUAACAUUUUGAACCGCAUGGUUCGAAAUUGAAAGGCGGCUUCGGCUGUCACUUAUGGAUGGACCCGCGUCGCAUUAGCUAGUUGGUGAGGUAACGGCUCACCAAGGCAACGAUGCGUAGCCGACCUGAGAGGGUGAGCGGCCACACUGGGACUGAGACACGGCCCAGACUCCUACGGGAGGCAGCAGUAGGGAAUCUUCCGCAAUGGACGAAAGUCUGACGGAGCAACGCCGCGUGAGUGAUGAAGGCUUUCGGGUCGUAAAACUCUGUUGUUAGGGAAGAACAAGUGCUAGUUGAAUAAGCUGGCACCUUGACGGUACCUAACCAGAAAGCCACGGCUAACUACGUGCCAGCAGCCGCCGUAA
rnacentral:rRNA from 1 species